rnacentral:rRNA from 1 species
UAAUACGGAGGGUGCAAGCGUUAUUCGGAAUCACUGGGCGUAAAGGACGCGUAGGCGGGAAGCCAAGUCUGAUGUGAAAUCCUAUGGCUCAACCAUAGAACUGCAUUGGAAUCUGGCUACCUAGAGUAUGGGAGGGGGAGAUGGAAUUAGUGGUGUAGGGGUAAAAUCCGUAGAUAUCACUAGGAAUACCGAAAGCGAAGGCGAUCUCCUGGAACAAUACUGACGCUAAGGCGUGAAAGCGUGGGGAGCAAACGGGAUUAGAUACCCCGGUAGUCCACGCCCUAAACGAUGUUCACUAGUCGUCGGAAUGCUAGUCAUUUCGGUGAUGCACUUAACAGAUUAAGUGAACCGCCUGGGGAGUACGGUCGCAAGAUUA